AGAUUGAACGCUGGCGGCAUGCUUUACACAUGCAAGUCGUGCGGCAGCGCGGGGGCAACCCUGGCGGCGAGCGGCGAACGGGUGAGGAAUACAUCGGAACGUACCCCGGAGUGGGGGAUAACCCAGCGAAAGUUGGACUAAUACCGCAUAUGCUCUGAGGAGGAAAGCAGGGGACUUCGCAAGAGGCCUUGCGCUCUGGGAGCGGCCGAUGUCCGAUUAGCUAGUUGGUGGGGUAAUGGCUCACCAAGGCGACGAUCCGGUAGCUGGUCUGAGAGGAUGAUCAGCCACACUGGGACUGAGACACGGCCCAGACUCCGUACGGGAGGCAGCAGUGGGAAUUUGGACUAAGUGGGGCAACCGUGAUCCAGCCAUGCCGCGUGCGGAGACGGCUUCGGUGUAACCGUCUUUAGGUACGGAAGAAAGGCGAAGGCGUU
rnacentral:rRNA from 1 species